AAGACUAUACUUCACAGGAUCAUUUCUGUAGUGAGUCUUCAUUUACUUUCUUUGCAAAUCGAAAGUAUUAGCUAGGUAUACCGUUUUAUCUGACAGCGUGAGGUUUAUGAACUUUAUUUCCAAUUUUGUCUUGUGACAUAUGUAUUAGAAAUGAUGUUUCUUCGAUGAUCGCUCGGUUAUAACGGAUAAUACGACUUCUGAGUGGU